rnacentral:rRNA from 1 species
GAUGAACGCUGGCGGCGUGCCUAAUACAUGCCAGUCGAGCGAACAGACGAGGAGCUUGCUCCUCUGACGUUAGCGGCGGACGGGUGAGUAACACGUGGAUAACCUACCUAUAAGACUGGGAUAACUUCGGGAAACCGGAGCUAAUACCGGAUAAUAUAUUGAACCGCAUGGUUCAAUAGUGAAAGACGGUUUUGCUGUCACUUAUAGAUGGAUCCGCGCCGCAUUAACUAGUUGGUAAGGUAACGGCUUACCAAGGCAACGAUGCGUAGCCGACCUGAGAGGGUGAUCGGCCACACUGGAACUGAGACACGGUCCAGACUCCUACGGGAGGCAGCAGUAGGGAAUCUUCCGCAAUGGGCGAAAGCCUGACGGAGCAACGCCGCGUGAGUGAUGAAGGUCUUCGGAUCGUAAAACUCUGUUAUUAGGGAAGAACAAAUGUGUAAGUAACUAUGCACGUCUUGACGGUACCUAAUCAGAAAGCCACGGCUAACUACGUG